rnacentral:rRNA from 1 species
ACGAGAAUCUACUGAAAGAGUUUUCGGACAAUGGAUGUAGAGGAAAGUGGCGGACGGGUGAGUAACGCGUGAGGAACCUGCCUUGAAGAGGGGGACAACAGUUGGAAACGACUGCUAAUACCGCAUGACGCAUAGAGGUCGCAUGAUCUUUAUGCCAAAGAUUUAUCGCUUCAAGAUGGCCUCGCGUCUGAUUAGCUGGUUGGCGGGGUAACGGCCCACCAAGGCAACGAUCAGUAGCCGGACUGAGAGGUUGAACGGCCACAUUGGGACUGAGAUACGGCCCAGACUCCUACGGGAGGCAGCAGUGGGGAAUAUUGGGCAAUGGGCGCAAGCCUGACCCAGCAACGCCGCGUGAAGGAAGAAGGCUUUCGGGUUGUAAACUUCUUUUAAGAGGGAAGAGCAGAAGACGGUACCUCUAGAAUAAGCCACGGCUAACUACGUGCCAGCAGCCGCGGUAAUACGUAGGUGGCAAGCGUUGUCCGGAUUUACUGGGUGUAAAGGGCGUGCAGCCGGGUCUGCAAGUCAGAUGUGAAAUCCAUGGGCUCAACCCAUGAACUGCAUUUGAAACUGUAGAUCUUGAGUGUCGGAGGGGCAAUCGGAAUUCCUAGUGUAGCGG